UACGGGGGGGGCAAGCGUUGUUCGGAAUUACUGGGCGUAAAGGGCUCGUAGGCGGCCAACUAAGUCAGACGUGAAAUCCCCAGGCUCAACUUGGGAACUGCGUCUGAUACUGGAUGGCUUGAAUUCGGGAGAGGGAUGCAGAAUUCCAGGUGUAGCGGUGAAAUGCGUAGAUAUCUGGAGGAAUACCAGUGGCGAAGGCGGCAUCCUGGACCGAUAUUGACACUGAUGAGCGAAAGCCAGGGGAGCAAACGGG
rnacentral:rRNA from 1 species